CAGCCCUUGACAUGUCCCGUAUGGGCUCCAGAGAUGGAGCUCUUCAGUUCGGCUGGCGGGAACACAGGUGCUGCAUGGCUGUCGUCAGCUCGUGUCGUGAGAUGUUGGGUUAAGUCCCGCAACGAGCGCAACCCUCGCCCUUAGUUGCCAUCAUUCAGUUGGGCACUCUAAGGGGACUGCCGGUGAUAAGCCGCGAGGAAGGUGGGGAUGACGUCAAGUCCUCAUGGCCCUUACGGGCUGGGCUACACACGUGCUACAAUGGCGGUGACAAUGGGAUGCAAUGGAGCGAUCCUGCGCAAAUCUCAAAAAGCCGUCUCAGUUCGGAUUGUGCUCUGCAACUCGGGCACAUGAAGUUGGAAUCGCUAGUAAUCGCAGAUCAGCACGCUGCGGUGAAUACGUUCCC
rnacentral:rRNA from 1 species